GUGGUGAAACCUUUAAUUCCAAUAUCCUGAAUUUACUGAAGUGGUGGAAACCUUUAAUUCCAAUAUCCUGGAAUUCCUGAAGUGGUGGAAACCUCUCAUUCCAAUAUCCUGGAAUCCCUGAAGUGGUGAAACCUCUGAUUCCAAUAUCCUAGAAUUCCUGAAUUGGUGGAAAUCUCUAAUUCCAAUAUCUGGAAUCCCUGAAGUGGUGAAACCUUUAAUUCCAAUAUCUGGAAUUCCUGAAGUGGUGGAAAUCUCUAAUUCCAAUAUCUGGAAUCCCUGAAGUGAUAAAACCUCUAAUUCCAAUAUCCUGAAAUCCCUGAAGUGGUAAAACCUUUAAUUCCAAUAUUCUGAAUUUACUGAAGUGGUGAAACCUCUGAUUCCAGUAUCCUGGAAUCCCUGGAGUGGUGGAAAUCUCUAAUCCAAUAUCCUAGAAUUCCUGAAGUGGUGGAAAUCUCUAAUUCCAAUAUCUGGAAUUCCUGGAGUGGUGAAACCUUUAAUUCCAAUAUCCUGAAAUCCCUGAAGUGGGAAAACCUUUAAUUCCAAUAUUCUGAAUUUACUGAAGUGGUGAAACCUCUGAUUCCAAUAUCCUGGAAUUCCUGGAGUGGUGGAAACCUUUAAUUCCAAUAUCUGGAAUUCCUGAAGUGGUGGAAAUCUCUAAUCCAAUAUCCUGGAAUUCCUGAAUUGGUGGAAACCUCUAAUUCCCAUAUCCUGAAUUUACUGAAGUGGUGAAACCUCUGAUUCCAAUAUCCUGGAAUUCCUGGAGUGGUGGAAACCUUUAAUUCCAAUAUCCUGGAAUCCCUGGAGUGGUGGAAAUCUCUAAUCCAAUAUCCUGGAAUCCCUGGAGUGGUGAAACCUCUGAUUCCAGUGUCCUGGAAUCCCUGGCGUGGCUCAGCCCAGGAAUCUCCUGUGCAGAGCUGGAUUCUGAUUUCCCGGUGCAGCAUCUCCGAGCUCUCUGCUCAGGCUGUCUCUGCCCUCCUCACCUCUUGCCAGACAAGAAGGAGUUUUCAAGUACUUCAGCCUGGCUUGGGUCUGUACAGCUGAAAACCUUCCCAAAUUUCCACUUAAAGGUGGAUUUUUAGUGACUUUUCAGAGGCUGCAAAAGCCCAGAAAGCUCAGCAGCUCCUGCUUUAUUUUCAUAUUUGAGAAAACAGAGUUGUCUGAAAAAUAAUCUCGCUCCUAAUGGGAAUGGGGGAGCAGGGAAAUGGUUCCAGAGGAAGGAGAUUCCCCUCCUGGCACUUCCAGAUCCCCUCAGGUGACAACCAGGGAUGGACACUCUGCUAACACCCCCAAAAACCUUCUUUGUUUUAUUCCCAACUUGUCCCCUCUGGAAAUAAAAAAGAAAUCUAUUUUUAAAUCUAUAGAAUAGUUUGGAAAGGGGUUUUUUUUAUCAGCCCUGGAGGCAUUUUGUCCAUUUCUGCCUCAUCUGCUGUUAGAAGAAUGCAGAAGAUUGAAACAUUUCUGGUGUGGUUUAACCCCUCCAGAGCUCCUCCCGAGCUCGGGAACUGCAGGAGGAUUUCUCUGGAGCUGCUUUUGGGAGGUUUUUUGUGGUUUUUUUUUUUUUCAUUUCCUCCACUCUGAGUUACUUCUCUUUUUUUUUUUUCUUGCUGGCAAGGCUUGGUGUUUAUGCUCCAUAAAUCCUGACGUGGCCUGGCUGCUCCUCCAAGCACUUGUGGUGCAAUUCCCAAACAAAGAUUGGGAAUCUCAGCAAACUUUUCUAUCAGGGACAAGAGCAAGGCCUGAGGGGCUCUUUAUUUCCUUUUUUAUUAGAUUUACUCUUUUAUUUAUUAAAGCAAGACCUUUUGGUAAGGCUGAGAAGUGCUGGUUGUGUUUCCAGCUUGGGAGUUCUGUUCCCUGGGUGGGUCUCAGCAGUUCUGGGUGGUUCAGGACCCAGGUGAGUGAGCAGGGAGCUCCAGGUGCUGCAUUUCCAGGGAUCCACAGGAUCUGGCAGCGUUUCCAAGGAGCUCCUCACUCCUGGGUGAAGAUUUGGAACCAUUUUUGCUGUAAUCCAUGAGAGCUGGGGGAGAAUCCACAGAACUCUGCUGGUGUCAGGCAGGUUUAAUUGCACUAAUCCCAAUUAAACCUUGACAUUCCCAUUGUUUGGGGUAUGGGAUCCUGAUCCUUUGGGGGUUUUUUAGGAUGAUCUGGUUUCUUUCAGUGCUUUUCCUUCUAAUUUAAAUCCCUGUGCUGCUUUCCCUACAAAUGCCAGGUGUUGCCUGGAGUUGUCCCAGGCCAGGUUGGGAACAGCAGGAUGGACUUUUCCAACCCAAACCAUUCCAUGAUUUUCCAGGCCAGGGCUGUCUGUCCAUCAGCUUGGAGCUGUGCAGCACGCUGGGGUUUUUUUGGGAAACAAAUCCACGAUCCAGACAUUCCCAGCAGACAUUCUGGCACAGGCAGCAGCGUGAUCACAGAUAUGUCUUUAUCUCUCCCAAGUUGAUCCUGUUUCACUGAGCUCAGCUGGCUCCUGGUGCUCCAGCAUCCCUGAGCUGAGCGCUCCCUGCUCCUCUGAGUGAACCCCUCUUUCCUGGUUUAGCUUAAAAAAAGGAAAAAAGGGGCUGGGAAGGGGCUGGAGAAUUCCUGAGAGCUGGGAAGGGGCUGGAGAAUUCCUGAAGGGGCUGGAGAAUUCCUGAGAGAGCUGGGAAAGGGCUGGAGAAUUCCUGAGAGAGCUGGGAAGGGGCUGGAGAAUUCCUGAAGGGGCUGGAGAAUUCCUGAGAGAGAUGGGAAGGGCCCAGCCUGGAGAAAAGCAGGAUCAGGGGGACAUUCCCAAUGUCCACAAGUCCCCAACAGGAGGGGACAGCCAGGAGGGUCCCAGGGGACAGCAGGACAGGAGGGGACAGCCCCAGGGAGCUCCAGGUGGGACAGCAGCAGGAAUUUCCUCCUGGAAAGGGUUGUUAGAGCUUGGGAAGAGCUGCCCAGGGAGGUUUGGGGUCCCAGGGGUCCCUGGAGGUGUCCCUGGGGUCCCUGGAGGUGUCCCUGGGGUCCCUGGAGGUGUCCCAGGGGUCCCUGGAGGUGUCCCAGGGGUCCCUGGAGGUGUCCCUGGGGUCCCUGGAGGUGGCACUCAGAGCUCUGGGCUGGUGACAGGCUGGGCAUGGGGCACAGUGCUGAUCCCAGAGCUCUUUUCCCGUGGAAAUCCUCCUUUAGGUCCCAGUUUGGGGACUCCACAGCCCAUCCCACUCCUGACAGUGCUCCUCAGCUGCAAACACAGGUCUGGGAGAGGCAGCAAAAUCCCUGGAUUUGGGGGGAUUUACACCAGCAGGACGGGGGUGAAUCCAUCCAGCUGCAAUCCACAUUCCCUCCCCAGCACUGCAGCCCCCGAGCUCUGAGGCUGAGCUGUGCCAGGCAGCCCCUUCCCUCUGCAGGCUGGCAUUACCCACAGGGAAAUCCAGAAUUGCACGGUCCUGGAAGCGGCUCUGGGUGGCUCUGGGUGGCUGCCAGGGGUCAGUCACAGGGACAGUGGCUUCAGGGGGACAAGGAGGGGCUGGCUCCAGGGAAUUGAUCCCGGUGGUUCUGGGUGCAGUGGCUGAGCUGGGAAGGGAUUUUUGGGAAUUGCAGGGGGGUGGGAGUGGAGCUGCCAGGAUUCCCACGCCUUGGCACUGCUGGGAUGAGGCACCCAGAGCGGGUCAGUCCCUGAUCCCAGCUCUUCCCUCUCUCUCUCUCUCUGAUUGCUAAUUAGCUGGUUAACAUUCCCUGCCUCAUUAUCCCACCCUCAGCUUUUCUCCCCGAGAAUCUGAGCCUUUCCAGAGCUCCACACUCUCACACUGGAUUGAGCAGAGCCUGUUUGUGAGCUCUGUUUGUGGUGUAAACCCAAAUUCCACCCUCCUCAUCCAUCAUUUUUAGGGAUACCUAUGAAACCCACGCAGAGUUCCAUCCCAUUUUGCUGUGGAUUUUGAUUUCUGGCAGUUCCUGGGGACAAUUCCCAUUCCUGCAUUGCCAGGCUAGAGGGAUUCAGCAUUUCCCUGCCUGCUGGUGAGGAAUAUCUUUGUGGCAGCCCAGCUCAAGACCAUUUUCCCCAUUCCAACAGGGACUUUAAUUCCAUUUUAACACUCCCAGCCACUCCACGAGCUCAUUAAUCCUCUUUACUGCGGAGAGUUUUGCCCUGUGGCAAAACUUUCAAAAUUCUGUGAUUUUUUUUUUUUCAAAUUUUUUUUUUUUUUUCUGUUAAGGUGUGAAAAACGCUGUUCUGGUGUUCUCUGGAAAUAGUUCUCACCUUUGGAAUAAUACUGGAGAGAGGCAGAGCUGCUGAAAAUAGCAGCAGCUGCCAUAGGCCAGGAUGGAGUUGUGUUGUCAGUCAUGGGAACAGAAAUCCAAUUCCACCUGCGGAUGAGCAUUCCUGAAAUAGAAGAGGGGUUGUCAGCCACCAGAGGAGAAGCAUUGUGUGCAUCCCUGGUGAGGGGAAAAAAAAAAAAAUCAAUCAGAUCCACGUUUUCCAGCGGUUUGGAAAACUUGGGAGUGUCCCAAGUUGCUUUUGGGAGAGGUGGUUUGGAUAAUGUUUGGUGGUUUGGAGGUAAAUUUGGGAAAAAGCUCGCUGGGAUUGCAGAGGGAUUCUCAGAGGGAGGUUUUGCCAGCCUGGGGAAGGUGGGAAUGGCUCCAGGGCCGGGAAAAGCACUCGGGGAAGGUCGGUGGAGGGGCAGGAAGUUUUUAUGGGAGGCUGAACAAAGCUGGGUAGGAAAUGGAUUCACAGCCAAGGCAGGGGGCUGCGCUGCUUCCCCCAAUUCCAGCACUCCCCAGCCAUUCCAGGGACAAAUUCUCCAUUUUUCCUGCAGUUUCAGAAGCCACAGAGCCUCUGGUGCAGCUGCUUUUUUUCCCCAAACUCCCCCAAUCCAUUUUUUAACCAUUUUCUCCUGAUUUAUUUGUCUCAUCCUCGAAACUCCUGUCCCCUGCAUGAACAAAGCCUCCCUGGCUGGAGUUUUGCAUGUGCAGGCUGCUGUAAUUGUGGGUUUGGGUUCCUGCUGGGACUGAUUGUGUCGAGCUGAUCCAAGUGCUGGUGCCCAUGGAUGGCCUUUGGGGCUGCUGAUAAAAUAAACCAGAAUGGCUGGGUGGGCCUGGCCACCUUCCAUUUCAUUCUAGAACAGAUUGGAACAGCUUUUGUCCACAUCCAGAUUUUCCUGAAUGUUCUUCUGGGUUUUAUCUAGGCAGGAAUAUUUUCUCCUCCGUGCUCAGGGUGGUUGUAAAUUCCAGGACUUGUAAAAUUUGUUAUAUCUGUGUUUUCCCAGAUCUCAAAUUUCAGUGGGAUUAUCCAAGGAAAAACUCAUUUUUGCCAGGUUUUGUCCAAAUAAAAUCAGGGAUGCUGAGGGCUGGCAGUGCUCCUCAUCCAUUCCUUCCAGGAUAACACCAUGAUCCUGGUUUCAGUUGUUGUGGAGCUGAUGCUUCAGUGGGAAGUGGAGGAGCAGUUCCAGGAUUUAAUGAAUCCCUGUCCCUAAUGCCUGUGUGCCUUCCCAUCAGCCCAGAGGGAGAAAAAAUCCCAGGAAUGAGAAAGAA